UACAGAGGGGGCAAGCGUUGCUCGGAAUCACUGGGCGUAAAGCGUGCGUAGACGGUUAUUUAAGUCGGAUGUGAAAGCCCCGGGCUCAACCUGGGAAUUGCAUUCGAGACUGAAUAGCUAGGGUGCGGUAGAGGGAAGCGGAAUUUCCGGUGUAGCGGUGAAAUGCGUAGAUAUCGGAAGGAACAUCAGUGGCGAAAGCGGCUUCCUGGACCAGCACCGACGUUCAGGCACGAAAGCGUGGGGAGCAAACAGG
rnacentral:rRNA from 1 species